GGAUUACAAACCCAACAAGUAUCCAUGAGGAUGCAGGUUCAAUCCCUGGCCUCGCUCAGAUGUGGAUGUGACACCUGGAGCUGGGGCAGCCAUCUUGUGCCCAUCAAGAAAAAAGGAUUGCAGAGAUGCCAGCCCUGACAUCACCAAGCUGCUGAUGCCAGCCCCUCAGACCUCCAGAUAAAUUAUGAGAGAAAAGUAAACCCCCUAUAUUUAAGGCACUAGCAGUCAGGUUUUCUGAUCCUUUCAGCCAAAAGCUUUCCCAGUUCACACACCACUUGUUAACAUUUUUUGGUGUAUUUCCUACCAGUCUUAACAAGGUUGAGAAAUCCUACCUAUAAGUUUACAUUCUGGGUUUUUUUUUUUUUCCUAUGCUAUAAAAUCAUAAAAAUUCUCUCACAUCACAGAAAAGCAUUCCAAAAUCCCAUAUAUAUUGGUGUUUGUCUAUUGCAUGACUAUGUAUCAUUUCCAUGUUGCCAGAAAUAGUUUCUAGUUUUUCACUAUUGUAAAUAAGGCUGGGAUAACAUCCUCGUGUAUAAACCUCUGCCUGCACCACUGAAACAUUUUCUAGGGUACAUUCUAAAAGAGGAGUCAAAGAACAUGAAUUACUAGGUGGAAAGCAGACUAGCUACAUGGCAGGAGUGGAAGACAGCAAUCAGUGGAUGGUACCCUAGGCCUCCCCUCAGGAACAUGGAUCAGGAGUCAGUCAAUCAUCCAACACAUAUUUGCUGAGUAGUUAUUUCACUCCAGGCAUUAUGCUCCAUGCUAUCCUCCAUGCUGGCUGUACAGUGUGGACAAAAACAGACAUGGGUCCUGUCCACAUGGGAAAUACUAUGUAUCAGAUGGCCACCCAGAGAGACGGAGACAGGUUUUUAUUGAACAAUGGUCAACUGAUGAAAGGAGAGGUUCCCCAUAAAGCUAAAAGGCAAAAUCUAACUGAGAAAAACAUUUGUGAUCUAUAUUGAAAAUAUAAGGCCAAUAUACUUCUUAUACAAUUAUAAUCCUGUCAUAUCAUGACUGGUAUGCCAUCAUUAAAAAUGAUGCAAAAAAAAAAAUGCAUGGAGGCACAGAAAGAUGUCAGGAUAGGUUUUAAAAAUCAAAA